GACGAACGCUGGCGGCGUGCCUAAUACAUGCAAGUCGAGCGGGCCUCCGGAGGUGCUUGCACCUCCGGAAGGCCAGCGGCGGACGGGUGAGUAACACGUGGGCAACCUGCCUUUGAGGCCGGGAUAACACCGGGAAACCGGUGCUAAUACCGGAUGCGUCCCCUUUCGCGCCUGCGAGAGGGGAGAAAGACGGUCUUUAAGGCCGUCGCUCAAAGAGGGGCCCGCGGCGCAUUAGCUGGUUGGUGGGGUAAGGGCCUACCAAGGCGACGAUGCGUUGCAGACCUGAGAGGGUGAGCGGCCACACUGGGACUGAGACACGGCCCAGACUCCGGCGGGAGGCAGCAGUAGGGAAUCAUCCGCAAUGGGCGAAAGCCUGACGGUGCAACGCCGCGUGAGUGAGGAAGGUUUUCGGAUCGUAAAGCUCUGUUGUGAGGGAAGAACAGCUUCCGGAGGAAAUGCCGGAGGUUUGCCGGUACCUCACCAGAAAGCCCCGGCUAACUACGUGCCAGCCGCCGCUGUAA
rnacentral:rRNA from 1 species